AGGACGAACGCUGGCGGCGUGCUUAACACAUGCAAGUCGAGCGAGGCCCUUCCUUCGGGAAGGUGCCCUAGCGGCGAACGGGUGAGUAACACGUGGGCAACCUGCCCCUAGCACUGGGAUAAGCCCGGGAAACCGGGUCUAAUACCGGAUAUGACCUUCGAGGGCAUCCUUAAAGGUGUAAAGGAUUCUGGCUAGGGAUGGGCCCGCGGCCUAUCAGCUUGUUGGUGGGGUAAUGGCCUACCAAGGCGACGACGGGUA
rnacentral:rRNA from 1 species